rnacentral:ncRNA from 2 species
UACGAAGGGUGCAAGCGUUACUCGGAAUUACUGGGCGUAAAGCGUGCGUAGGUGGUUUGUUAAGUCAGAUGUGAAAGCCCCGGGCUCAACCUGGGAAUUGCAUUUGAUACUGGCAGACUAGAGUGCGGUAGAGGAGAGUGGAAUUCCCGGUGUAGCAGUGAAAUGCGUAGAGAUCGGGAGGAACAUCAGUUGCGAAGGCGGCUCUCUGGACCAGCACUGACACUGAGGCACGAAAGCGUGGGGAGCAAACAGG